CCAAGAAGUUAUCCAAGACUGGUUCUGCGACUAAGGCAGUCAGGAUUUUGAUCAACGCUUCGGUUUGCCCGCGUGCCAAUCGCUCUGCCCGCGAUCGCUCGUUCACUUCUGCUUCUAGAGCAGCAUUAAUCUCUGCCAGUUCGGCGGCACGUUCUUGCGUGGCUUGAAUUCGCUGUUCAAUCAAUCGCUUAACUAACUGUUUGCGAUGCAAAGCCGUCCCCAUGCUGUCGGCAACAGCGGUAAGC
rnacentral:misc_RNA from 1 species